GCGAGGGGAGUGAAAAAGAACCUGAAACCGUGUACGUACAAGCAGUGGGAGCCCCACCACUAAGCCAGUGGUGAACUCCACAUACGCAUCCUUUGCUGAGGAUACGGUUAACGGAGCGAAAGCGACGUUCAACCGCAAAAGAAGCAGAGGGGGCUUAGUGGUGGGGUGACUGCGUACCUUUUGUAUAAUGGGUCAGCGACUUAUAUUCUGUAGCAAGGUUAACCGAAUAGGGGAGCCGGAGGGAAACCGAGUCUUAACCGGGCGUUAAGUUGCAGGGUAUAGACCCGAAACCCGGUGAUCUAGCCAUGGGCAGGUUGAAGGUUGGGUAACACUAACUGGAGGACCGAACCGACUAAUGUUGAAAAAUUAGCGGAUGACCUGUGGCUGGGGGUGAAAGGCCAAUCAAACCGGGAGAUAGCUGGUUCUCCCCGAAAGCUAUUUAGGUAGCGCCUCGUGAACUCAUCUCCGGGGGUAGAGCACUGUUUCGGCUAGGGGGCCAUCCCGGCUUACCAACCCGAUGCAAACUGCGAAUACCGGAGAAUGUUAUCACGGGAGACACACGGCGGGUGCUAACGUCCGUCGUGAAGAGGGAAACAACCCAGACCGCCAGCUAAGGUCCCAAAGUCAUGGUUAAGUGGGAAACGAUGUGGGAAGGCCCAGACAGCCAGGAUGUUGGCUUAGAAGCAGCCAUCAUUUAAAGAAAGCGUAAUAGCUCACUGGUCGAGUCGGCCUGCGCGGAAGAUGUAACGGGGCUAAACCAUGCACCGAAGCUGCGGCAGCGACACUCAGGUGUUGUUGGGUAGGGGAGCGUUCUGUAAGCCUGCGAAGGUGGCCUGUGAGGGUUGCUGGAGGUAUCAGAAGUGCGAAUGCUGACAUAAGUAACGAUAAAGCGGGUGAAAAGCCCGCUCGCCGGAAGACCAAGGGUUCCUGUCCAACGUUAAUCGGGGCAGGGUGAGUCGACCCCUAAGGCGAGGCCGAAAGGCGUAGUCGAUGGGAAACGGGUUAAUAUUCCCGUACUUGGUGUUACUGCGAAGGGGGGACGGAGAAGGCUAUGUUGGCCGGGCGACGGUUGUCCCGGUUUAAGCGUGUAGGUGUGUGUUCCAGGUAAAUCCGGUUCACUUUAACACUGAGGCGUGAUGACGAGGCACUACGGUGCUGAAGCAACAAAUGCCCUGCUUCCAGGAAAAGCCUCUAAGCAUCAGGUAACAUCAAAUCGUACCCCAAACCGACACAGGUGGUCAGGUAGAGAAUACCAAGGCGCUUGAGAGAACUCGGGUGAAGGAACUAGGCAAAAUGGUGCCGUAACUUCGGGAGAAGGCACGCUGACACGUAGGUGAAGUGAUUUACUCAUGGAGCUGAAGUCAGUCGAAGAUACCAGCUGGCUGCAACUGUUUAUUAAAAACACAGCACUGUGCAAACACGAAAGUGGACGUAUACGGUGUGACGCCUGCCCGGUGCCGGAAGGUUAAUUGAUGGGGUCAGCGCAAGCGAAGCUCCUGAUCGAAGCCCCGGUAAACGGCGGCCGUAACUAUAACGGUCCUAAGGUAGCGAAAUUCCUUGUCGGGUAAGUUCCGACCUGCACGAAUGGCGUAAUGAUGGCCAGGCUGUCUCCACCCGAGACUCAGUGAAAUUGAACUCGCUGUGAAGAUGCAGUGUACCCGCGGCAAGACGGAAAGACCCCGUGAACCUUUACUAUAGCUUGACACUGAACAUUGAGCCUUGAUGUGUAGGAUAGGUGGGAGGCUUUGAAGUGUGGACGCCAGUCUGCAUGGAGCCGGCCUUGAAAUACCACCCUUUAAUGUUUGAUGUUCUAACGUGGACCCGUGAUCCGGGUUGCGGACAGUGUCUGGUGGGUAGUUUGACUGGGGCGGUCUCCUCCUAAAGAGUAACGGAGGAGCACGAAGGUUGGCUAAUCCUGGUCGGACAUCAGGAGGUUAGUGCAAUGGCAUAAGCCAGCUUGACUGCGAGCGUGACGGCGCGAGCAGGUGCGAAAGCAGGUCAUAGUGAUCCGGUGGUUCUGAAUGGAAGGGCCAUCGCUCAACGGAUAAAAGGUACUCCGGGGAUAACAGGCUGAUACCGCCCAAGAGUUCAUAUCGACGGCGGUGUUUGGCACCUCGAUGUCGGCUCAUCACAUCCUGGGGCUGAAGUAGGUCCCAAGGGUAUGGCUGUUCGCCAUUUAAAGUGGUACGCGAGCUGGGUUUAGAACGUCGUGAGACAGUUCGGUCCCUAUCUGCCGUGGGCGCUGGAGAACUGAGGGGGGCUGCUCCUAGUACGAGAGGACCGGAGUGGACGCAUCACUGGUGUUCGGGUUGUCAUGCCAAUGGCACUGCCCGGUAGCUAAAUGCGGAAGAGAUAAGUGCUGAAAGCAUCUAAGCACGAAACUUGCCCCGAGAUGAGUUCUCCCUGAGACUUUAGGUCUCCUGAAGGAACGUUGAAGACGACGACGUUGAUAGGCCGGGUGUGUAAGCGCAGCGAUGCGUUGAGCUAACCGGUACUAAUGAACCGUGAGGCUUAACCUUACA
rnacentral:rRNA from 1 species